rnacentral:lncRNA from 1 species
UUUAUGGGUUUUGUUUGUUUUAGGGGUUUAUUUGUUUGUUGUUGUUGUUUUUUAUUACUUUACAUGGACUUAGAAGUGGUUCUGAUGGUCCAGGCAGAAUGAGUAAUAAGCGUUAUUCUCUUAGCAGUUUUCCCAAGCUAUGUCCUGUCUAAGCGGCCGGUCUCCAGACCCAUCCUCCUCCGUCGGCAUCCACGAGGGAGCAGAGGUGCCUUGAACGCGCAGAUUGGCUUCAGGAUCAGCAUUUUAGGUGCGCAUCCAUGUAAAGUGGCAGAUAUGGAGCUACAGACUGCCCCGCCUUCUCAGUCGCAGGUUUCCCCUGAAUGCAGGGUUCUUCCCUGGCAGGUUCGCUUCAGAGAAAAUUCCCCUCCUCCCCAAGUUCACGUCACCAGCAGAUUCCUCUCUUGCAGUAGGUGCCUCCCGGUUGCACGUCCCCUUCAGUGGCGCAAGGUCCUCGCUAACAGAUUCCCAUCCCCAAGGUUCGCCUGAGUCGCAGGCUCUCCUUAGUCUCCGGUUUGCAUCAGCUGCAGGGGCUCGGCUCCAGAUUCCCUUUAUUCGUAGGCUCGCUUCGGUGCCGGAUUCCCUGCUUCGGCAGAUUCGCCUCACCCGCCAGGCUCCGCCCUCGCCGGGCUCACGUCGGGUGGCGGUGUGCGUAGCAGUCGGCUGUGGCGGGCGCAGAGGGCCUCAUGGCGGCCCGGCCUCAGUCCUCGGGGGCCGCCGUGUCUGCGGCCGC